GAAGUUAAGUGUCUUGCCUAGGUUCAUACAACUGUCAAGUGGCAGAACCAGGAUUCGAAUUCCUGUCUUCUGAUUUCCAGAAAAACGGAAACAAACAGAAGAUAAAAGACUUGCCCAAGAUCACUUAAUUAGUAAGUAUCUGACACAGGAUUUGAACUCAUGAAUUUCUGACUCUGUAAUCUGAGCUCUAUCCACUGUAACACAUAGUUGCCCUGUACCCAAUUAUGGUC
rnacentral:lncRNA from 1 species